rnacentral:lncRNA from 1 species
UUUUUUCCAGAAAGUGAUUGUGGCACGGUUGCAGCGGUAGGCCUACCUGUUGCUUCUGGACCGCCAACAAUGUUACAUUCUGAACAGAAAAUAAUGGUAGUCCACCAAAAUUGGCUAUAACGUGUCCGUCCUGAUGAGUGAUAGAAAUGGCUCCAUCUGGCUAAAUAAGUGUAAAAAAAUUUACCAUUGUUUCUGUAUUUUAUUUGGACGCCUUAUCUUCUUGGUUACAUAUUCCCAUUAAUGACAUUAACAUGAUUGCCAUGUAACUAAGAUGAUGAUAAAUUAGAAAUUUGGUUAAAAAAAAUAUACCUCCCCAUUUCCUGUGUAGGAGGAAAAGCCUCAACUCAGCAGUUACUGACUAUAAAUGUUGAACUCCUUUUGUGUAUUUCCUGGCACCUGAGGAUAGAUUAAUCUAGAUAGGCUACACUAAAGUAACCACACUUUUUUUGAAACACUUUAAUAUUCAGUAAAAUUUGUAAAGCGAUAAAUUGGGCUUCUUUUUCAUAUAGAAAUAGAAGGCUGCUGCAAGAAUAUGUUUAACAUGGUGAGCAUCACUGAUGCAGACAUGCUUGGUAAUGAUGAAAUAGGAUUGUAUUUUGAAGUAUCUCAGGCGUGAGACCAGAUCAUAGCUGUGACUUGUCUGUUUUUCUUUUUGUGCCUCAGUCAGCUGGUGAGAGAAUGAAUGUUGACCACUGCAAUGGACGUCCAUACAUGUCAGGCAGUGAAGGAGAGCCACUAAGGGAGCAUGGUGAUUCGCAUGGACAUUUGAGAGUUCCAACAGCAAGCACUCCAGACAGACAGCAGUCCUCUCCAAACCAACCGCUCAGUGGUCAGCCAUCUCUCUAUAAACCCUACCUGCUAUUUGUAUAACCAACCAAAUGUACUAUUCAGUGCCCUCUGAAAUUACUGGAACAGUCAAGUGUUUUCGAUUUCAUUAUUAA